rnacentral:rRNA from 1 species
UACGUAGGGUCCGAGCGUUGUCCGGAAUUACUGGGCGUAAAGCGCGCGCAGGCGGCCCGCGAGGUGUCACGUGAAAGCCCCGGGCUCAACCCGGGAGGGUCGUGGCAAACCGGCGGGCUUGAGGCCGGUAGAGGUGGGUGGAACUCCUGGUGGAGUGGUGAAAUGCGUAGAGAUCAGGAAGAACACCCGUGGCGAAGGCGGUGGUCUGGGCCGGUACUGACGCUGAGGAGCGAAAGCGUGGGGAGCGAACAGG